rfam:Triticum aestivum genome assembly, contig: Triticum_aestivum_CS42_TGACv1_scaffold_423535_5BS
CUAGUACUCCCUUCGUCCGGAAAUACUUGCCAUCAAAAUAAAUAAUAGGGGAUGUAUCUAGAUGUAUUUUAGUUUUACAUACAUCCCUUUUUGUUCAUUUUGAUGACAAGUAUUUUCGGACGGAGGGAGUACGUG